rnacentral:tRNA from 1 species
GCGGACUUAGCUCAGUUGGGAGAGCGCCAGACUGAAGAUCUGGAGGUCCUG